CAGAUUUUCAAACGGCUUGUUAUGGCUAAUCACACUCGCACCUGGUGGCAUAGUAUCUCCCCUUUAAAGGACAAUGCCGGUCUGGGAGAUCGGACCAUGCCGGCCAUCGAGGACUAUGACAGCCGCUUUGCCACGAGUUUGGGUCCAGAAUUGUCCCAGUUCUGAGAGAACAGGACCUCCCGACCGCUCUCUGGAGGUCUACCUCAGGCCUACCUUUAUGGAGGACCGUUCUGCGCCCAUCUUCUACUAGCAGACGGCCACGCACCCCGACCCUACCGCUCAAAGGGUCGGUCUCCGUACAUGAGCGGGAAGAAAAUGGCCGCCGCCAUCGGUUGGGUGCCAGUUCUGAUGACCGGCUCCCGAAAAAAAAAAAGUUGACACUUGUACCUUGGGGGCAACGAUCUUACAGUGACACUCAAAGUUUUUUGUUUUUUUCCCACACUGCAUAGCAUUCAAGUAGGCGGCUUUGGGCAACCCCGGCCGUUUAUCGUGCGUGCGUUAUCAUUGUGACGCUUUGCAAAUCACUUCAGGGCGGCAGGUUAACACUGAUUUAUGUGGUCAACUCUUGGCUGGAACGUUAGAGUCAGCGAAUCAGGAGGUUGUUUUCAUUGGCUAGCGGGUCGCACUCACGAUGGGAAACGUGGGGCUAAAGCCUCGCGUUGGGGGACAUUUACACUGAUGGAGGAUAGUGAAACUAAUAUAUACUCUCUGCGCAUCGCUGCUGUGGAAAAUGUCUUUAUUAAUUGUGAUUUGAGAAUUGUAUGCGUGUGUGUGUGUAUAUAUAUGUAUAUAUCGUUUAAGAUUUAAGCAGUGAUGGUGCUCUCUGAACAAGGUGUCCGUCAGUUGCUUGAAGAGCAGGUCGUCUGAAAUUAGCGUUAGGCUGCGAAAAGAUACAGUACUGGGUAAAUGUGUUUUUUGAAAGGUGCAUUGAAAGUGUGCAAUGGCUACAGUUAGAUCCUGUUUUUUUUUUUAAACGCUAGUUUCUAGCUCAGAACACAUCAUGUUAUAGUAACUAUACAGUAUACCAUUAAACUAUACAGUUUAAUUUGGGGACUGUGCCUUCAUUUUUUUAAAGGGGUUACAGCCUUGAUAUAAUCAAUAUUCUACGCACUGUUAUAUGAAAAUGAUUACGCAUCACAACUCUGCUUAUAUACUUUAUUUGGUUUAUGCUGUUACUUUGCCAUUUUGUUUUGUCUUCUGGUGAUCUUUAAUAAUCUAAAGUGCGUGACUGCAAGGUUAGUUGCUGUGAAAAAAAAGGCAGCAUCACUUUUGCCGAUAUAAGAAUAUAAUGAAUUGUCUUUUAUGUUAAUUCAAAGCAGCCAAAUAUUGGCCAGUCAAAAAUCCAUGUAAAUAAUGGGUCAUUUUGGAGUAUCAUUUUCAGCUUUAAUUAGAGUGGUAUCUUAUUGAUUCAUAUGAUUCAACUAUCAUAAUAUUGUCUUAUAAUAUGAUCAUUGUUUUACUGUGAGCUGACUUAUUGCUUCAAGUGCAAAUAAUCACCAGUAACAAUCAAGACAAUGUAUAUUUUAAACAACUUGCAUACUGGCAACUGUAUGGGGAGACGAUUGUUCGCGCUUUGCAAUCACGUUCUCAGAAAUGUCCAAUUGCUUUGGUUAUCAAACCGUUUUCUAACCGUUUGUCCUUUUCUCACUUUUUGUUCUUUCUUGUUCUGUAUAUUUGUGUUGUACAGGGCGUGCGGUACGUGGAGUUAUUGUGUCAAAUAAAAACUUCAUUGUGUACAGCAUUCAUAGUUGUGUCACCUGUGUUGUUCUCUUUGUCCGUGUGUACCUUUUUUAGAUUAUGCAC
ensembl:lncRNA